GAUGAACGCUGGCGGCGUGCCUAAUACAUGCAAGUCGAGCGAACAGAUGAGGAUCUUGCUCCUCUGACGUUAGCGGCGGACGGGUGAGUAACACGUGGAUAACCUACCUAUCAGACUGGGAUAACUUCGUGAAACCGGAUCUAAUACCGGAUCAUAUAUUGAACCGCAUGGUUCUUUAGUGAAAGACGGUUUUUCUGUCACUUAUAGUUGGUUCCGCGCCGCAUUAGCUAGUUGGUAAGGUAACGGCUUACCAAGGCAACGAUGCGUAGCCGACCUGAGAGGGUGAUCGGCGACACUGGAACUGAGACAGGGACGAGAGAACGACGGGAGGCAGCAGUAGGGAAUAUGCCAGAAUGGGGGAAAACAUAAGGGAGGAAGGGGGAGGGAGAGAUGAAGGUGUAAGGAUCGUAAAAGUGGGUUAGUAGGGAAGAAGAAAAGGGUAAGUAAAUAUGAAGGUAAUGACGGUAGCGAAAGAGAAAGCAACGGCUAACUACGUG
rnacentral:rRNA from 1 species